GAUGAACGCUGGCGGCGUGCCUAAUACAUGCAAGUCGAGCGAACAGACGAGGAGCUUGCUCCUCUGACGUUAGCGGCGGACGGGUGAGUAACACGUGGAUAACCUACCUAUAAGACUGGGAUAACUUCGGGAAACCGGAGCUAAUACCGGAUAAUAUAUUGAACCGCAUGGUUCAAUAGUGAAGGACGGUUUUGCUGUCACUUAUAGAUGGAUCCGCGCCGCAUUAGCUAGUUGGUAAGGUAACGGCUUACCAAGGCGACGAUGCGUAGCCGACCUGAGAGGGUGGAUCGCCAAACCGGAACCGGGGCACCGUCCAGGCUCCUACGGGAGGCAGCAGUAGGGAAUCUUCCGCAAUGGGCGAAAGCCUGACGGAGCAACGCCGCGUGAGUGAUGAAGGUCUUCGGAUCGUAAAACUCUGUUAUUAGGGAAGAACAAAUGUGUAAGUAACUAUGCACGUCUUGACGGUACCUAAUCAGAAAGCCACGGCUAACUACGUG
rnacentral:rRNA from 1 species